UACGGAGGGGGCUAGCGUUGUUCGGAAUUACUGGGCGUAAAGCGUGCGCAGGCGGUUUUGUAAGACUGUCGUGAAAUCCCCGGGCUUAACCUGGGAAUGGCGAUGGUGACUGCAAGGCUAGAGUUUGGCAGAGGGGGGUAGAAUUCCACGUGUAGCAGUGAAAUGCGUAGAGAUGUGGAGGAACACCGAUGGCGAAGGCAGCCCCCUGGGUCAAGACUGACGCUCAUGCACGAAAGCGUGGGGAGCAAACAGG
rnacentral:rRNA from 1 species